AUGAAGCUGAAGGUCUUAGGGAACAGAGCAGUACGUUAUGAAGCUGAAGGUCCUAGGGAACAGAGCAGUACGUUAUGAAGCUGAAGGUCUUAGGGAACAGAGCAGUACGUUAUGAAGCUGAAGGUCCUAGGGAACAGAGCAGUACAUUAUGAAGCUGAAGGUCCUAGGGAACAGAGCAGUACGUUAUGAAGCUGAAGGUCCUAGGGAACAGAGCAGUACAUUAUGAAGCUGAAGGUCCUAGGGAACAGAGCAGUACAUUAUGUAUGAAGCUGAAGGUCUUAGGGAACAGAGCAGUACGUUAUGAAGCUGAAGGUCUUAGGGAACAGAGCAGUACGUUAUGAAGCUGAAGGUCCUAGGGAACAGAGCAGUACGUUAUGAAGCUGAAGGUCUUAGGGAACAGAGCAGUACGUUAUGAAGCUGAAGGUCCUAGGGAACAGAGCAGUACAUGAUGAAGCUGAAGGUCUUAGGGAACAGAGCAGUACAUUAUGAAGCUGAAGGUCCUAGGG